rnacentral:rRNA from 1 species
CCUACGUGAGGCAGCAGUGAGGAAUAUUGGUCAAUGGACGAGAGUCUGAACCAGCCAAGUAGCGUGAAGGAUGACUGCCCUAUGGGUUGUAAACUUCUUUUAUAUGGGAAUAAAAUGUUCCACGUGUGGGCUUUUGUAUGUACCAUAUGAAUAAGGAUCGGCUAACUCCGUGCCAGCAGCCGCGGUAAUACAGAGGCUCCGUGCGUUUUCCGGAUUUAUUGGGUUUAAAGGUCGCGUAGGUGGAUUGUUAAGUUCGUUGUGAAAGUUGGCGGCUCAACCGUAAAAUUGCAGUUGAAACUGGCAGUCUUGAGUACAGUAGAGGUGAGCGGAAUUCGUGGUGUAGCAGUGAAAUGCUUAGAUAUCACGAAGAACUCCGAUUGCGAAGGCAGGUCACUGGACUUCAACUGACACUGAGGCACGAAAGUGUGGGUAUCAAACAGGAUUAGAUACCCCUGUAGUC